CAUAUUGUUGUUAAUGGGAUCGUACGCAUGGAGCACUUUUCCUCAGGCUCAGAGUUUUAUUCUUCUCAGCUGCUAGUUUAAGAUAUGUGCUGCAGCCCUAAGGAAUGCAUUUAUCACUUCAGUAAGCUUCUGUUGAGAAUAAGAGGAAUGUAAGUCAACGACUUAUUGUACCUAAUGACAACCAUUUCUUAUGAUUUUUUUGUAUUUGAUGGAUUAGCAUUGCGCAUCAUUUGAUUGCGCCAAAGCUUGAUAAUCAAAUCCUCUGUUUCUAUUUAA